rnacentral:rRNA from 1 species
CAAUAGCGUAUAUUAAAGUUGUUGCGGUUAAAAGCUCGUAGUUGGAUUUCUGUCCGAGGCAGCCGGUCCGCACCUGGUGCGUGUAUCUGGUUUGGCUAGGGCAUCCUCUUGGGGAACGUCUCUGUGCUUGAUUGCAUGGGGCGGAAUUCAAGACUUUUACUUUGAGGAAAUUAGAGUGUUCACGGCAAGCUAUCGCUUUGAAUACAUUAGCAUGGAAUAAUAAUAUAGGGCGUAAGUUCUAUCUUGUUGGUUUCUAGAACAUACGCAAUGAUUAAUAGGGACAAUUGGGGGCAUUCGUAUUAACGCGUCAGAGGUGGAAUUCUUAGAUUGCGUUACGACGAACUACUGCGAAAGCAUUUGCCAAGGAUGUUUUCAUUGAUCAAGAACGAAAGUAUGGGGAUCGAAGACGAUUAGAUACCAU